AAACCAACAGGGAUUGCCCCAGUAACGGCGAGUGAAGCGGCAACAGCUCAAAUUUGAAAUCUGGCCCUCGCGGGCCCGAGUUGUAAUUUGUAGAGGACGCUUUUGGUGAGGCACCGCCCGAGUUCCCUGGAACGGGACGCCACAGAGGGUGAGAGCCCCGUCUGGCUGGAUGCCGAGCCUCUGUAAAGCUCCUUCGACGAGUCGAGUAGUUUGGGAAUGCUGCUCAAAAUGGGAGGUAUAUGUCUUCUAAAGCUAAAUACCGGCCAGAGACCGAUAGCGCACAAGUAGAGUGAUCGAAAGAUGAAAAGCACUUUGAAAAGAGGGUUAAACAGUACGUGAAAUUGUUGAAAGGGAAGCGCUCGUGACCAGACUUGGGCCUGGCGGAUCAUCCGGCGUUCUCGCCGGUGCACUUCGCCUCGCCCAGGCCAGCAUCAGUUCGCCUCGGGGGACAAAGGCCUCGGGAACGUGGCUCCUCCGGGAGUGUUAUAGCCCGUGGCGCAAUACCCUGGGGCGGACUGAGGUUCGCGCAUCUGCAAGGAUGCUGGCGUAAUGGUCACCAGCGAC
rnacentral:rRNA from 1 species